ensembl:snRNA U6 U6 spliceosomal RNA
AUUUCUUCAGUGAUACAGAUACUAAAAUUAGAAUGAUACAGAAAAGAUUAGCAGAUCCCUUGUGUAUGGAUGGCACUGAAAUUUGUGAAAGGUUCCAUAUAAAA